CAAAAUUUCAGUCCCUGCGUGUGAUAUAUGGCGAUGGGAAAUCAUUUGCAGAAGAGAUCCUCGUGUGGGAGUAGACCAAGAAAAAUCAUCCCUCACUCACUCUGCAGUAGAGAUGUGGCCAAAACAUAGCAUCAUACCAGCCACUAUGAAGGAGAAAACAACUCUGUCCCAGCUGAAACCAGGACAAUAUGAAGACUCUGCACUGACCUUGACACCCAGCUUCCCUGAGAAACAGGAACAGCCAACUGCUGGUGUGAAGAAAUCUGAUGACCAACGUGGAUAGUGAUAACAAAAAAAUCUUCCUAAAAGCCUACAACUUCAAAAAUAAUGUUUUUUUCUUCCCCCCUUACUCCUGAAAAUCAAACUUUGCUUUACAUAAUUAACCCCUACAUUUG
ensembl:lncRNA